rnacentral:rRNA from 1 species
UACGGGGGGGGUAAGCGUUGUUCGGAAUUACUGGGCGUAAAGGGCUCGUAGGCGGCCAACGAAGUCAGACGUGAAAUCCCUCAGCUUAACUGGGGAACUGCGUCUGAUACUGGAUGGCUUGGAUCCGGGAGAGGGAUGCGGAAUUCCAGGUGUAGCGGUGAAAUGCGUAGAUAUCUGGAGGAGCACCGGUGGCGAAGGCGGCAUCCUGGACCGGUAUUGACGCUGAGGAGCGAAAGCCAGGGGAGCAAACGGG